rnacentral:rRNA from 1 species
AAGCGACCCCAGGUCAGGCGGGAACACCCGCCGAGUUUAA